UGAGAGGACUAGGAAGUUUCAACAGAGACAUGCCAGUAUAAAGGGGACUGUGGGGACUAUGUGAUGGGAGCAAGGAAUAUAACUCCUCUGAUUUAACUCUCUCCAUUCCCUUAAUGGGAGAGCUUCUCAUGGUUGAACCUAACUGAAAGAUAGUCAGGAAGGGAUUGGAUUUGGAGAUCACCACGAGGAAGGGUGGAGGACUAGUGGAAGAUAUCUGAAUCUGUGGCAGCUAUAGACAUGACGGCUACGCUUGUUUCAGACAGAACAGCCAGCCCCUUGCUGAGGAAAAAGGGCCUGUGCAGGAUAUCAGCAGACCUUCAUUCUCCUUUUGCUCUGGCAUGAGCUAGCCAUGGCAAUUGAAACACUAAGACAAGACACAUGGGGAAAGAUACUUCAGCUACAAUGUUUAAUUAAGAAGGUCAAAUUUCCAGUUUGAAAUGAAGCAUGUCCAUUAUGCAUCUACAUUUUCAUCAUCACUUGCAUUAGCAGGAAGAAAGAGAGACAAUUAAGCCCCUUCAAAUGUUUGAGCACAUGAAGAGACCAGGGAAAUGGCUGAUGCUCUGCCAAAGAUAAUUUCAGGAAAAAGAAAUUUAACAGAAAACAAAUAGACAAAGGGUGUGAGAAACAACAUACAGAAAAAUGAAUCCAAAUGACCAACAAAUGCUUGAAAUUUUUCACACUUAGUCAAUGCAAGUACAAUAAGAUAUUACUUUAUAUCCUGUGCACUGUCAAUAAUAAAGUAACAUUAUCACUGAAGACAGGUAUUCACACAAAAAAUCUCCAGAGGUGAAAUUCAGGAAACUGUGUUUUAACAAACUUUCCAGAUGAUUCCAAAAUACACAAAACUUUGAGAACCACUGCUGUCGUAUAGGCCUAUAGAUUGCUUCAGGCCUUUUGGAAAGCAAAUUGACAAAACCUAAUGCAUUUUUAAAUGUUAUAAAAGGCUGGGUGCGGUGGCUCAUGCCCAUAAUCCCAGCACUUUGGG